CACGCCCUAAACGAUGUCAACUGGUUGUUGGGAAUUCACUUUCUCAGUAACGAAGCUAACGCGUGAAGUUGACCGCCUGGGGAGUACGGUCGCAAGAUUAAAACUCAAAGGAAUAGACGGGGACCCGCACAAGCGGUGGAGCAUGUGGUUUAAUUCGACGAUACACGAAGAACCUUACCUGGACUUGACAUAGUAAGAACUUUCUAGAGAUAGAUUGGUGUCUGCUUGCAGAAACUUAUAUACAGGUGC
rnacentral:rRNA from 1 species